AUUGAACGCUGGCGGCAGGCCUAACACAUGCAAGUCGAGCGGCAGCGGGAAAGUAGCUUGCUACUUUUGCCGGCGAGCGGCGGACGGGUGAGUAAUGCCUGGGAAAUUGCCCAGUCGAGGGGGAUAACAGUUGGAAACGACUGCUAAUACCGCAUACGCCCUACGGGGGAAAGCAGGGGACCUUCGGGCCUUGCGCGAUUGGAUAUGCCCAGGUGGGAUUAGCUAGUUGGUGAGGUAAUGGCUCACCAAGGCGACGAUCCCUAGCUGGUCUGAGAGGAUGAUCAGCCACACUGGAACUGAGGCACGGUCCAGACUCCUACGGGAGGCAGCAGUGGGGAAUAUUGGACAAUGGGCGCAAGCCUGAUCCAGCCAUGCCGCGUGUGUGAAGAAGGCCUUCGGGUUGUAAAGCACUUUCAGCGGGGAGGAAGGGUGGUGUGUUAAUAGCACAUCAUUUUGACGUUACUCGCAGAAGAAGCACCGGCUAACUCUGUGCCAGCCGCCGCCGUAACAC
rnacentral:rRNA from 1 species